AAAUUGAAGAGUUUGAUCAUGGCUCAGAUUGAACGCUGGCGGCAGGCCUAACACAUGCAAGUCGAACGGUAACAGGAAACAGCUUGCUGUUUCGCUGACGAGUGGCGGACGGGUGAGUAAUGUCUGGGGAACUGCCUGAUGGAGGGGGAUAACUACUGGAAACGGUAGCUAAUACCGCAUAAUGUCGCAAGACCAAAGAGGGGGACCUUAGGGCCUCUUGCCAU
rnacentral:rRNA from 1 species